rnacentral:lncRNA from 1 species
AUGUUUGGAAGUUGGUGCUGGCUGUUGGCUGGGGGCUUUUGUUCUCCAUGUGACCAGCUUCUAUACAAGGCAAUCUCAGAGCAGUGUUCUAAGAGGGAAAAAGCUGCAAGACCUCUCAAGGACUCAUCUCAGAAGUUACACAAGAUCAUCUUCAAUGCAUUGGUCCUGGUGAAAAUGCAGAAGCAUUGAAGACCAGAGUACUGUUUGGCAGGACCAACACGGAUUUUACCACCAGGUGCAGGAGACAGCUACCAUGAGGGACCUUUGAGACACAUAAUAACUCUGCUGCAUCCUUUCCAAGCUCUUCCCUGAAAUUCCAUCACAACAGCUAUAAUACUUUGAUUUAAAUUUUUUUGUUUCCCAUUAAAAUAUAAAUGCCCAAAGGAAGGGUAAUGUCUUAAACUCUCUGGAAUCAUUUAUCCCUUAGGGGGAGUCAGAUACUUCACUGACAUUAGGUUUUUAU